UGGGGAAUUUUGGACAAUGGGCGCAAGCCUGAUCCAGCCAUGCCGCGUGCAGGAUGAAGGCCUUCGGGUUGUAAACUGCUUUUGUACGGAACGAAAAGGUGCCUUCUAAUAAAGGGCGCUCAUGACGGUACCGUAAGAAUAAGCACCGGCUAACUACGUGCCAGCAGACGCGGUAAUACGUAGGGUGCGAGCGUUAAUCGGAAUUACUGGGCGUAAAGCGUGCGCAGGCGGUUUUGUAAGACAGAGGUGAAAUCCCCGGGCGCAACCUGGGAACUGCCUUUGGGACUGCAUGGCUGGAGUGCGGCAGAGGGGGAUGGAAUUCCGCGUGUAGCAGUGAAAUGCGUAGAUAUGCGGAGGAACACCGAUGGCGAAGGCAAUCCCCUGGGCCUGCACUGACGCUCAUGCACGAAAGCGUGGGGAGCAAACA
rnacentral:rRNA from 1 species